ACCGUAGGGGGCAAGCGUUGCUCGGAUUCACUGGGUGUAAAGGGCGCGUAGGCGGAUAAACAAGUCGGAUGUGAAAUCCCGGGGCUCAACCCCGGAACUGCAUCCGAAACUGUUUAUCUGGAGUAGUGGAGAGGAAAGCGGAACUCCUGGUGUAACGGUGAAAUGUGUAGAUAUCAGGAGGAACGCCGAUAGCGAAGGCAGCUUUCUGGACACUUACUGACGCUGAGGCGCGAAAGCGUGGGGAGAAAACAGG
rnacentral:rRNA from 1 species